rnacentral:snRNA from 1 species
AUACUACUGCUGAGUGGUCUCCCAUCCUAGUACUAACCAGGCCUGACCUUGCUUAGCCUCCAGGAUCAGAUGAGGCGCAUGCAGCAGCACAAAUACUAAACUUGGAACAAUAUAGAGAAGGUCAGCACAGCCUCUACUCCAUGUGGAAAAGAGUGGUUUUCUGAGAACCAGAGGAUCCCGUUGACAGUCGAAAUAUCCCACGUCAUAUAAAGCUGUCAACACCUGAGGGUGAGGUUCCCCAGGAUCAUAUUAGAAAUGGUUACCAUACUCCUCAACAGGAAGCAACAGCUUGGCUAUGAGGAGAGAAAAGAUACUGCAAAGAGUGUGGAAGGGAGAAAUGUGGCCCAUUGUGCUACCAUAGAAACCAACCAAGGUAUGUGACAGAGGGAGGGAAGACCCAAUACAGGCCCAUCCUCCUCUCC